UCCUACGGGAGGCAGCAGGCGCGAAAACUCUACAAUGCAGGCAACUGCGAUAGGGGAACAUCGAGUGAUACUCAUAUUGGGUGUCUGUCCUUCCGUCUAAAAAACGGGAGUUAGCAAGGGCCGGGCAAGACCGGUGCCAGCCGCCGCGGUAAUACCGGCGGCUCGAGUGGUGGCCGAUAUUAUUGAGUCUAAAGGGUCCGUAGCCGGCUUGGCAAGUCUCUUGGGAAAUCCGGCGGCUUAACCGUCGGUCGUCCGGGAGAUACUACCUUGCUUGGGACUGGGAGAGGCGUGAGGUACUCAGGGGGUAGGAGUGAAAUCCUGUAAUCCUUUGGGGACCACCGGUGGCGAAGGCGUCACGCCAGAACAGGUCCGACGGUGAGGGACGAAAGCUAGGGGCACGAACCGGAUUAGAUACCCGAGU
rnacentral:rRNA from 1 species